UCGGGAAUUUUGCGCAAUGGACGAAAGUCUGACGCAGCAACGCCGCGUGAGGGAUGACGGCCUUCGGGUUGUAAACCUCUUUUAUCAGGGAAGAUAAUGACGGUACCUGAUGAAUAAGUCACGGCUAACUACGUGCCAGCAGCCGCGGUAAUACGUAGGUGACAAGCGUUGUCCGGAUUUACUGGGCGUAAAGAGCGCGCAGGCGGUCGAUCAAGUCGAGUGUGAAAGCCCCCGGCUCAACUGGGGAGGGUCAUUCGAUACUGAUCGACUCGAAGGCAGGAGAGGGUAGUGGAAUUCCCGGUGUAGUGGUGAAAUGCGUAGAUAUCGGGAGGAACACCAGUGGCGAAGGCGACUACCUGGCCUGUUCUUGACGCUGAGGCGCGAAAGCUAGGGGGAGCAAACGGGAUUAGAUACCCCGGGUAGUCCUAGCCGUAAACGAUGGACACUAGGUGUUGGUGGUAUCAACCCCGCAGUGCCGAAGCUAACGCAUUAAG
rnacentral:rRNA from 1 species